rnacentral:rRNA from 1 species
CCGGCACGGGUGAGUAACACGUAUCCAACCUGCCGUCUACUCUUGGACAGCCUUCUGAAAGGAAGAUUAAUACAAGAUGGCAUCAUGAGUUCACAUGUUCACAUGAUUAAAGGUAUUCCGGUAGACGAUGGGGAUGCGUUCCAUUAGAUAGUAGGCGGGGUAACGGCCCACCUAGUCUUCGAUGGAUAGGGGUUCUGAGAGGAAGGUCCCCCACAUUGGAACUGGGACACGGUCCAA